rnacentral:rRNA from 2 species
AAAAUUAGAGUGUUCAAAGCAGGCAGAUCCAAUUUUCUGCCACCGAAUACAUUAGCAUGGGAUAAUGGAAUAGGACCCUGUCCUCCUAUUUUCAGUUGGUUUUGGCAGCGCGAGGACUAGGGUAAUGAUUAAUAGGGAUAGUUGGGGGCAUUAAUAUUUAAUUGUCAGAGGUGAAAUUCUUGGAUUUAUGAAAGAUUAACUUCUGCGAAAGCAUCUGCCAAGGAUGUUUUCAUUAAUCAAGAACGAAAGUUAGGGGAUCGAAGACGAUCAGAUACCGUCGUAGUCUUAACCAUAAACGAUGCCGACCAGCGAUUAGGAGACGUUGAAUACAAAACACCACCAUCGGCGCGGUCGUCCUUGGCGUCUCGGUUUCGGCCGGGGCGCGGGGACGGCUUAGCCCGGUGGCACCGGUGAA